CCUACGGGUGGCUGCAGUGGGGGAUAUUGGUCAAUGGGCGCGAGCCUGAACCAGCCAAGUAGCGUGAAGGAUGACUGCCCUACGGGUUGUAAACUUCUUUUAUAAAGGUAUAAAGUGAGACACUUGUGCCUUUUUGUAUGUACUUUAUGAAUAAGGGUCGGCUAACUCCGUGCCAGCAGCCGCGGUAAUACGGAGGGUCCGAGCGUUAUCCGGAUUUAUUGGGUUUAAAGGUAGCGUAGAUGGGUUGUUAAGUUAGUUGUGAAAGUUUGCGGCUCAACCGUAAAAUUGCAAUUGAUACUGGAAGGCUGGAGUACAGUAGAGGUAGGCGGAAUUCGUGGUGUAGCGGUGAAAUGCUUAGAUAUCACGAAGAACUCCGAUUGCGAAGGCAGCUUACUAAACUGCAACUGACAUUGAGGCGCGAAAGUGUGGGUAUCAAACAGGAUUAGAUACCCGAGUAGUC
rnacentral:rRNA from 1 species